GGAUAAUUUCUGGAAACGGAAACUAAAACCGGAUAGGUAAUAGAGAAGCAUUUCUGUAUUAUUAAAGAAGCCUCAAAGCUUUGAACAUGGAUGGACCUGCGGUGCAUUAGCUAGUUGGUAAGGUAACGGCCUACCAAGGCGACGAUGCAUAGCCGACCUGAGAGGGCGAACGGCCACAUUGGGACUGAGACACGGCCCAAACUCCUACGGGAGGCAGCAGUAGGGAAUUUUCGUCAAUGGGGGGAACCCUGAACGAGCAAUGCCGCGUGAGUGAAGACGGUCUUCGGAUUGUAAAGCUCUGUUGUGAGAGAAAAAGGAUAUAUAUAGGAAAUGAUAUGUAUUUGAUGGUAUCUCACCAGAAAGUCACGGCUAACUACGUGCCAGCAGCCGCGGUAAUACGUAGGUGGCGAGCGUUAUCCGGAAUGAUUGGGCGUAAAGGGUACGUAGGCGGCAUGAUAAGUCUGGAGUGAAAGGCUACAGCUCAACUGUAGUAUGCUCUGGAAACUGUCAAGCUAGAGUGCAGAAGAGGGCAAUGGAACUCCAUGUGUAGCGGUAAAAUGCGUAGAUAUAUGGAAGAACACCGGUGGCGAAGGCGGUUGCCUGGUCUGAAACUGACGCUGAAGUACGAAAGCGUGGGGAGCAAAUAGGAUUAGAUACCCUAGUAGUCCACGCCGUAAACGAUGAGAACUAGGUGUUGGGGGAAUAACUCAGUGCCGCAG
rnacentral:rRNA from 1 species